UACGUAGGGGGCAAGCGUUGUCCGGAUUUAUUGGGCGUAAAGAGCUCGUAGGCGGUUCGUCACGUCGGCUGUGAAAUCCCGAGGCUCAACCUCGGGUCUGCAGUCGAUACGGGCGGACUGGAGUACUGCAGGGGAGACUGGAAUUCCUGGUGUAGCGGUGAAAUGCGCAGAUAUCAGGAGGAACACCGGUGGCGAAGGCGGGUCUCUGGGCAGUAACUGACGCUGAGGAGCGAAAGCGUGGGGAGCGAACAGG
rnacentral:rRNA from 1 species